rnacentral:rRNA from 1 species
GACGAACGCUGGCGGCGUGCUUAACACAUGCAAGUCGAACGGAAGGGCCCUGCUUUUGUGGGGUGCUCGAGUGGCGAACGGGUGAGUAACACGUGAGUAACCUGCCCUUGACUUUGGGAUAACUUCAGGAAACUGGGGCUAAUACCGGAUAGGAGCUCCUGCUGCAUGGUGGGGGUUGGAAAGUUUCGGCAGUUGGGGAUGGACUCGCGGCUUAUCAGCUUGUUGGUGGGGUAGUGGCUUACCAAGGCUUUGACGGGUAGCCGGCCUGAGAGGGUGACCGGCCACAUUGGGACUGAGAUACGGCCCAGACUCCUACGGGAGGCAGCAGUGGGGAAUAUUGCACAAUGGGCGGAAGCCUGAUGCAGCAACGCCGCGUGCGGGAUGACGGCCUUCGGGUUGUAAACCGCUUUCGCCUGUGACGAAGCGUGAGUGACGGUAAUGGGUAAAGAAGCACCGGCUAACUACGUG